rfam:Gossypium raimondii Chr03_contig_725, whole genome shotgun sequence.
CACUGGAGGCAGCGGUUCAUCGAUCUCUUCCUGAGAAUUUUGUUGUGAGAAUAACACAAAUACAUGAAUCGAUCGAUAAACCUCUGCAUCCAGC